AAAGCCUCGGCUCCUUCCGAGGGGGUGAGUGACUUCCCCGGCGGUCCCUUGCAGCGCUGCCUUUCGAUCCCUCCACAUCUCGGUGGCGCGGGCUCUCAAGAUGCGCCUCCACCUGCUCCUGCUGCUCGCGCUGUGCGGUGCAGGCACCGCCGCCGCGGCGCUCAGUUACAGCUUGCGGGGCAACUGGAGCAUCUGCAAUGGGAACGGCUCGCUGGAGCUGCCCGGGGCGGUCCCCGGCUGCGUGCACAGCGCCUUGUUCCAGCAGGGCCUGAUCCAGAGUCUCACUCUGUCGCCCAGGUUGGAGUGAAGUGGCAUCAUCUUCCUCACUGCAUUCUCUGCCUCCCGGGUUCAAGCGAUUCUCAUGGUCUCACCGUGUUGCUCAAGCUGGUCUCAAUCUCCUGAGCUCAGGCAAUCCGCCCACCUCGGCCUCUCAAAGUGCUGGGAUUACAGGUGUGAGCCACCAUGGGUGACCUCUUUAAUAUAGAUUUAUAAGGCCCCUUUGUUAUAAAUUUUCAAAAAUUCAAAUUAAAACGAAAUCCCCAAACGUCCCAUUUAUUAAUGAAGUAUUUUGUUAUAUGGAUG
rnacentral:sRNA from 1 species